UGGUGGAGUGAUUUGUCUGGUUAAUUCCGAUAACGAACGAGACCCCGUCCUACUUACUAGACCGAGGAUCCUCUCGUUCUCGCUGUCUUCUUAGAGGGACAACUGCUUAAUAAGCAGUUGUCCCUUUAUAUAAUAUACCUUGAACUACAUGAAAUGGGGCAAUAACA
rnacentral:rRNA from 1 species